UACGUAGGGUGCGAGCGUUGUCCGGAAUUAUUGGGCGUAAAGGGCUCGUAGGCGGUUUGUCGCGUCGGGAGUGAAAAUCCAGGGCUUAACUCUGGACUGGCUUCCGAUACGGGCAGACUAGAGGUAUGCAGGGGAGAACGGAAUUCCUGGUGUAGCGGUGAAAUGCGCAGAUAUCAGGAGGAACACCAAUGGCGAAGGCAGCUCGCUGGGACGUGACUGACGCUGAGACGCGAAAGCGUGGGGAGCGAACAGG
rnacentral:rRNA from 1 species